CCUGAGAAACCCAAAAGAUCGAUCGGGGAGAUUCAUCGUCAGCGAUUCUGGUACGUGCGCGGGUUCGCGAUGUCACGGGACUUCGGUUCCGAGACACUCGACCGCGCAUGGAUGUAUUGCCAGGUGUUGCCGGCGUGCACUUCUCCCCUAGUAGAACGUCGCGACCCGUCGAGUGUCGGUCUACGGCCCGAGCGGUAGCCUGUCGUGCGUCGAUUUCGCGUCGACAUGCGGCAGACCCUCGGUUGUCCGACCGGCUGCUCGGCGGUACUCGUACGGUAUCGAGUCGCAAAUAUUUGAACUGCGUCCGGCCCGCCGCAAGCGAGGUCAGUUUUCCCGGAUGUGUACGGACCUAGCGCCGUCACCGGGCCUGGCCAGCUGUUGGUCGGCGGUGUUCUGGGACUGGCUCGCCAAUUAUGAUACCGGUCGGCGACGCUACUGCUUUGGGUACUUUCAGGACCCGUCUUGAAACACGGACCAAGGAGUCUAACAUGUGCGCGAGUCAUUGGGAGCAAUAUCAAGCCUAAAGGCGCAAUGAAAGUGAAGGUCGGCCCCGCGCCGACCGAGGGAGGAUGGGCCGCGUCACGAUGCGGUCCCGCACUACCCGGGGCGUCUCGUUCUCAUUGCGAGA
rnacentral:rRNA from 1 species